AAGACACUUAAUGUGCUAUAGUCUGAGCGCCAGCUCUGAAAACUCCAUUAACUCACCGGAGGCGCCAUUUGCAAUACAGCUGCAGUGACAUGACUGACCACCAGGUGGCGACAAAAUAAUACUUGCAGCUAUAGUGGAAGCUCAAGGGUUUGAGCCACAGCACCACCAAGCUGCCACUGUUGGGCCCUUGAUCAAGGCCCUUGACCUUCUCUGCUUCAGUGGUGCUGUAUCACGUCUGACCCCAAACCUCCAAAGCUGGGAUAUGAGAAGAAAAAGUUUCACUGUGCUGUAAUGCAGAUGUGGUAAAAUAAAGGCUUCUUCUGUAAAGUAA